rnacentral:tRNA from 1 species
CAUAACUUAAUUGGAGAAAGCCGCAGGUUUCUACCCUGCUUCCCGUCGAAGGGCAUGAUCCUGGUUCGAUUCCAGGUGCACGUGCCA